GCGGCGGUAGCGAAGCCAGGCCAAACGCGGAGGACUCAAGAUCCUUUCCCAUAGGGGUUCGCAGGUUCGAUUCCUGCCCGCCGCACCA
rnacentral:tRNA from 2 species